GUGUUCGCUUCGGCAGCACAUAUACUAAAAUUGGAACGAUACAGAGAAGAUUAGCAUGGUCUCUGUGCAAGGAUGACAUGCAAAUUUGUGAAGCAUUCAUUU
rnacentral:snRNA from 1 species